rnacentral:rRNA from 1 species
UGAGUAACCUGCCCUUAAGACAGGAACAGCUUCGUGAAAACGAAGGUAAUGUCUGAUAAUAUCAGCGAAGCGCAUGCUUUGCUGUUUAAAGAUGGGGACCGCAAGGCCUAUCACUUAGGGAUGGACUCGUCUCCUAUCAGCUAGUUGGUGAGGUAACGGCCCACCAAGGCUUAUGACGGGUAGCUGGUCUGAGAGGAUGGUCAGCCACACUGGGACUGAGACACUGCCCAGACUCCUACGGGAGGCUGCAGUCGAGGAUAUUUAGCAAUGGGCGAAAGCCUGACUAUGCGACGCCGCGUGAGGGAUGAAGGGUUUCGGCUCGUAAACCUCUUUUGUUAGGAAAGAAACCUCCGAUUCGAAUAGUUUCGGAGCUGACGGUACCUGACGAAUAAGCCACGGCCAACUCCGUGCAGCAGCCGCGGUAAUACGGAGGUGGCAAGCGUUACUCGGAAUCAUUGGGUGUAAAGGGCAAGUAGGCGGCUUAAUAAGUGAGGGGUGAAAUCUUCCGACUCAAUCGGAAAAUUGCCUUUCAAACUGCUAGGCCUGAGGCAGGAAGAGGGAAAUGGAAUUCUCGGUGUAAGGGUGAAAUCUGUAGAUAUCGAGAAGAACACCAGCGGUGAAGGCGAUUUCCUACUCCUGUCCUGACGCUAAAUUGCGAAAGCUAGGGGAGCAAACAGAAUUAGAUACUCUGGUAGUCCUAGCCGUAAACGAUGAGCACUAGGUGUUGGCUCCUUUGGGGUCAGUGCCGCAGCUAACGCAUUAAGUGCUCCACCUGGGGACUACGGUCGCAAGGCUAAAACUCAAAGGAAUUGACGGGGGCCCGCACAAGCGGUGGAACAUGUGGUUUAAUUCGAAGAUACGCGAAAAACCUCACCAGGGCUUGACAUAUAGGCAGUAGUGAACCGAAAGGGGAACGAGCCGUCAAGUCCGGCAUCCUAUACAGGUGCUGCAUGGCUGUCGUCAGCUCGUGUCGUGAGAUGUUGGGUUAAGUCCCGCAACGAGCGCAACCAUCUUCCCAUGUUGCAAACGUAUUGGUAACUUCGGUUAUCGGUAUGUGCACUCUUGGGGUACUGCCUGGGAUAACCAGGAGGAAGGUGGAGAUGACGUCAAGUCAGUACGGCCCUUAUGCCCUGGGCUACACACGUGUUACAAUGGCUGGUACAAAGGGUUGCCAACCCGCAAGGGGGAGCUAAUCUCUAAAAACCAGCCCCAGUUCAGAUUGGAGUCUGCAAUCCGACUCCAUGAAGCCGGAAUCGCUAGUAAUGGACGAUCAGCACGCUUCCGUGAAUAC